rnacentral:lncRNA from 1 species
CAGUAACUGCUACCAAUACAUCACAAUUGUUUUGAGCCUUAUUAAAGGAUGAACUCGGCAAAUUUAACGAUUGUUAGAUAAGUCUCUUGCUAUUGGCAAAACUGCUUGGAAACAUGCAUGCCAAGGGUAAGCUCAAUUAGAAGUAUCAGCAUUUGGUUUAGGAUAUUUAGAACUUUCUCAGUGAUGAAAGACAGGUUGUGGCUUGGUCUGGGAAUCCACAGCUCUUGAAAGAGACCGUCG